AAACUCCAUCUCAAAAAAACCCAAAAAAAACAGUGGACUAAUUUUGAGUUUUGCAUAGUGUGCCUCACUUUCUUUGUAAGUAUUCCAUUCCUUCCUAGGCCUCGUUUUGGCCACUUUAGGGCCUGAGGACCAGGAGGCUGAUGGACAUGAGGUCUUCUGUGCAUUCUCUACCAUUAGACCUAGGAGAGGCAGAGAAAGUGAUUUUAGGGAUUGUUAGCACAUAAGGAUUAAACUUCCUUAUAUAUGAGGAAGUUUAAUAAUAUCUUCUCAGAGGAUUGUUUUGAGGAUUAAAUGGCUGGCACCUGGCACAUAGUAGGUACUUAGUAAGCAUUGGUUGUUAUGGGUACCAGGCACUUUUAUAGCAGGAGUCCCUAGUCCCGGGGCAUAGACUGGUACCAGUUCAUGUCCUGUUAGGAACGAGGCCAGGCCGCACAGCAGUUGAGCGGCGGGUGGAAAAGCAUUACCGCCCAAGCUCCACCUCCUGUCAGGUCAGUGGUGGCAUGAGAUUCUCAUAGGAGCGUGAACCCUGCUGUGAACUGCGCGCGUGAGGGAUCUAGGUUGUGUGCUCCUUAUGAGAAUCUAAAGCCUGGUGAUCUCAGGUGGAACAGUUUCAUCCCAAAACCAUUCUCCUCCCCGCCCUGUGGAAAAAUGGUCUUCUACCAAACUGAUCCCUGGUGCCAAAAAGGUUGGGGACUGCUGCUGUAUAGGACAACUCUUUUUAGGAUGAUUCUCCCCUGACUUGAUCCCAGAUGAGGAACUGCCAUGGCUCUAAGGCCUCAUGAAGGGUGGGCCUCUCCACAAGUGGACUCAGCCGUUAGGAGUCAUCUCCUGAAAUCCUGGAUUCCAGAGGCAUAGCCAGACUGAAAAGGGACCUGUGUCUUUAUUUAAAAAAUUAAAAUAUAUAUUUUGUAGAGAUGGAGUCUCCCACUGUUUCAAAGGCUGGUCUCAAACUCCUGGUCUCAAGUGAUCUUCCCACCUCAGCCUCCCAAGGCAUUGGGAUUACAGGCAUAAGCCACCGACCUGUCCUUGUGUGUUUUCGAAUGCCCUGGAUAGAAGGCAGGAGCCCUAGGACCUGCUGACAGGGCCAGUCCCCAGGGACUGCCUAAUCCUAGCAAGUCCCCGCCCUCCCUGGGCCUUGGCUUUUCUAUCUAAACAAUGGGAACAAUAUGCUAGAAAGUGCUGCA